rnacentral:lncRNA from 1 species
AUGCAUUUACCCAAUUUCAGAUUCUUGCUAUGUUAGGUCACAGGCCAGGUCUCCCUGGUUUCACCCAGUGUGGCCAGCACAGGUCACCCCUGGACGCCCUGGUGCUGGAAGAAGAUCACAGGGACGUCCUCUCUCUUCAUGUCCUGGAGUGGCUUUUAUUUCAGUCUGUACCAGAAAAUUUCCAGGACAAAACUGUGAUCAGAACCAAGGAGUAAGCAGCCCCAUUUUGAUGUAGUUGGGUGCUGGUCUGUCUGUCUACACAUCAUCUACGAAGUGAAAGAACGUGCUUGGGAACGGUCAACACCUGAAGAAGGAGAGGGGACCUCAGGAGAGGAUCUUGGAGGAGGCACGCAUGAACUUCUGCCGGUCUGUUUAAGCACUUGGCCUUCACAGAGAGCCAGGCACCCUGAAUGCAGAGCAGAGGCCAGUUCUUCUACCCAUGGGAAUGGACAGUGCCAGGGGAGGAACGGCUGUCACAGAGCCUUGCAGUCAGGUGGACAAAUAGCAGCUGUGGACACAAACUUUCAUGCAUGUCCGUGUGAAGAGAUCACCAAACAGGCUUUGUGUGAGCAAUAAAAGCUUUUAAUUGCCUGGGCACAGGCAGGCUGAGUCCGAAAAGAGAGUCAG